rnacentral:rRNA from 1 species
GGUGCUACCAUGCAGUCGACGGAGGGCCCUGCUUUUGUGGGGUGCUCGAGUGGCGAACGGGUGAGUAACACGUGAGUAACCUGCCCUUGACUUUGGGAUAACUUCAGGAAACUGGGGCUAAUACCGGAUAGGAGCUCCUGCUGCAUGGUGGGGGUUGGAAAGUUUCGGCGGUUGGGGAUGGACUCGCGGCUUAUCAGCUUGUUGGUGGGGUAGUGGCUUACCAAGGCUUUGACGGGUAGCCGGCCUGAGAGGGUGACCGGCCACAUUGGGAUUGAGAUACGGCCCACACUCCUACGGGAGGCAGCAGUGGGGAAUAUUGCACAAUGGGCGGAAGCCUGAUGCAGCAACGCCGCGUGCGGGAUGACGGCCUUCGGGUUGUAAACCGCUUUCGCCUGUGACGAAGCGUGAGUGACGGUUAUGGGUAAAGAAGCACCGGCAAACUACGUGCCACACCCCCGGGAAAAAAAA